CCCCGCCCCGGGGAUCGGCCCCGCCCCUGCCCGUCACCGCCGGGGUUUUCCCGUCGGCCUGCGAGUGACCCUGGGCCGAGAGCGGAAGUCCCUGUUUACAAAGUGAUGCUGACGCCCAUGGCCAGGGGCUGAACUCAUCCGUGUCUGUGAAGCGCCUUGGAGGAGGAGGCUGGAGCUCGGAGCUGCUGGCAGAGAGGCACUGGAUCCUGGCAGAGGCUGGGACAGAAAGUGCUUAGGUGGGAAGCAGGAGAUGCCUCUGGUGAGCGAGAUGGAAGCAGCUUCCUUCAGCCUGUCCGGCCAUUGGGAGGCAAAGCACAGAAGCUCUAACCCAGCACAUGCUUCAGUGGACACAAGUUAAUUUGUGGAAGGGAAAAACGUACCAGGUACUUGCCUGGAUACCACUCUAGGUAGAAGCCAGCUCUCCUGAGGGUAAAUCUGGUGACCUCCAAAUAGAAGCAUCCUGUCAACCGAACUGAUGCCAUUCUGCUAAAUAAAUAUGCAGAGACCAGGCAGGAGUGCUCAUUCCCAUGCCUGGCAUAGGGCGCAGCGUU